AACGUAGGACGCAAGCGUUAUCCGGAGUUACUGGGCGUAAAGGGCGCGUAGGCGGCAAUCCAAGUCAGCUGUGAAAUCUCCGGGCUUAACUCGGAACGGUCAGCUGAUACUGCUUUGCUAGAGUGCAGAAGGGGCAAUCGGAAUUCUUGGUGUAGCGGUGAAAUGCGUAGAUAUCAAGAGGAACACCUGAGGUGAAGACGGGUUGCUGGGCUGACACUGACGCUGAGGCGCGAAAGCUAGGGUAGCAAACGGG
rnacentral:rRNA from 1 species